rnacentral:rRNA from 1 species
UGUCCGGAUUUACUGGGUGUAAAGGGUGCGUAGGCGGCUUUGCAAGUCAGAUGUGAAAUCUAUGGGCUCAACCCAUAAACUGCAUUUGAAACUGUAGAGCUUGAGUGAAGUAGAGGCAGGCGGAAUUCCCCGUGUAGCGGUGAAAUGCGUAGAGAUGGGGAGGAACACCAGUGGCGAAGGCGGCCUGCUGGGCUUUAACUGACGCUGAGGCACGAAAGCGUGGGUAGCAGACAGGAUUAGAUACCCUGGUAGUCCACGCUGU